CAGUGGCGAACGGGUGAGUAACACGUGGGCAAUCUGCCCUGCACUCUGGGACAAGCCCUGGAAACGGGGUCUAAUACCGGAUAUUACCUUCCCCUGCAUGGGGGUUGGUGGAAAGCUCCGGCGGUGCAGGAUGAGCCCGCGGCCUAUCAGCUUGUUGGUGGGGUAAUGGCCUACCAAGGCGACGACGGGUAGCCGGCCUGAGAGGGCGACCGGCCACACUGGGACUGAGACACGGCCCAGACUCCUACGGGAGGCAGCAGUGGGGAAUAUUGCACAAUGGGCGAAAGCCUGAUGCAGCGACGCCGCGUGAGGGAUGACGGCCUUCGGGUUGUAAACCUCUUUCAGCAGGGAAGAAGCGAAAGUGACGGUACCUGCAGAAGAAGCACCGGCUAACUACGUGCCAGCAGCCGCGGUAAUACGUAGGGUGCGAGCGUUGUCCGGAAUUAUUGGGCGUAAAGAGCUCGUAGGCGGCUUGUUGCNGUCGAUUGUGAAAGCCCGGGGCUUAACCCCGGGUCUGCAGUCGAUACGGGCAGGCUAGAGUUCGGUAGGGGAGAUCGGAAUUCCU
rnacentral:rRNA from 1 species